UGGGUGAUCUGCCCUGCACUUCGGGAUAAGCCUGGGAAACUGGGUCUAAUACCGGAUAUACCUCAUUGAUCUCCUGGUUGGUGGGGGAAAGCUUUUGCGGUGUGGGAUGGGCCCGCGGCCUAUCAGCUAGUUGGUGAGGUAACGGCUCACCAAGGCAACGAUGGGUAGCUGGUCUGAGAGGACGAUCAGCCACACUGGGACUGAGACACGGCCCAGACCUCCGUACGGGAGCAG
rnacentral:rRNA from 1 species